rnacentral:rRNA from 1 species
GAUGAACGCUGGCGGCGUGCCUAAUACAUGCAAGUCGAGCGAACAGACGAGGAGCUUGCUCCUCUGACGUUAGCGGCGGACGGGUGAGUAACACGUGGAUAACCUACCUAUAAGACUGGGAUAACUUCGGGAAACCGGAGCUAAUACCGGAUAAUAUAUUGAACCGCAUGGUUCAAUAGUGAAAGACGGUUUUGCUGUCACUUAUAGAUGGAUCCGCGCCGCAUUAGCUAGUUGGUAAGGUAACGGCUUACCAAGGCGACGAUGCGUAGCCGACCUGAGAGGGGGAUCGGCCACACUGGAGCUGAGACACGGUCCAGACUCCUACGGGAGGCAGCAGUAGGGAAUCUUCCGCAAUGGGCGAAAGCCUGACGGAGCAACGCCGCGUGAGUGAUGAAGGUCUUCGGAUCGUAAAACUCUGUUAUUAGGGAAGAACAAAUGUGUAAGUAACUAUGCACGUCUUGACGGUACCUAAUCAGAAAGCCACGGCUAACUACGUG